rnacentral:rRNA from 1 species
GAUUGAACGCUGGCGGCAGGCCUAACACAUGCAAGUCGAGCGGAUGACGGGAGCUUGCUCCUGGAUUCAGCGGCGGACGGGUGAGUAAUGCCUAGGAAUCUGCCUGGUAGUGGGGGAUAACGUCCGGAAACGGGCGCUAAUACCGCAUACGUCCUGAGGGAGAAAGUGGGGGAUCCUCGGACCUCACGCUAUCAGAUGAGCCUAGGUCGGAUUAGCUAGUUGGUGGGGUAAAGGCCUACCAAGGCGACGAUCCGUAACUGGUCUGAGAGGAUGAUCAGUCACACUGGAACUGAGACACGGUCCAGACUCCUACGGGAGGCAGCAGUGGGGAAUAUUGGACAAUGGGCGAAAGCCUGAUCCAGCCAUGCCGCGUGUGUGAAGAAGGUCUUCGGAUUGUAAAGCACUUUAAGUUGGGAGGAAGGGCAGUAAGUUAAUACCUUGCUGUUUUGACGUUACCAACAGAAUAAGCACCGGCUAACUUCGUG